rnacentral:rRNA from 1 species
UACGUAGGGUGCAAGCGUUUGUCCGGAAUUAUUGGGCGUAAAGAGCUCGUAGGCGGUCUGUCGCGUCUGCUGUGAAAACCCGGGGCUCAACCCCGGGCCUGCAGUCGAUACGGGCAGGCUAGAGUCCGGCAGGGGAGACUGGAAUUCCUGGUGUAGCGGUGAAAUGCGCAGAUAUCAGGAGGAACACCGGUGGCGAAGGCGGGUCUCUGGGCCGGAACUGACGCUGAGGAGCGAAAGCGUGGGGAGCGAACAGG